CAGCAGCCGCGGUAAUACGAAGGGGGCUAGCGUUGUUUGGAAUUACUGGGCGUAAAGCGCACGUAGGCGGAUAUUUAAGUCAGGGGUGAAAUCCCGCAGCUCAACUGCGGAACUGCCUUUGAUACUGGGUAUCUUGAGUAUGGAAGAGGUUAGUGGAAUUGCGAGUGUAGAGGUGAAAUUCGUAGAUAUUCGCAGGAACACCAGUGGCGAAGGCGGCUAACUGGUCCAUAACUGACGCUGAGGUGCGAAAGCGUGGGGAGCAAACAGGAUUAGAUACCCCGGUAGUCCCUGUAUCUUAUAA
rnacentral:rRNA from 1 species